ensembl:lncRNA
UCCAGAGCACCUUCCUGUUUCUUUUAAAGAACAUACAACAUUAGACAGAAGUAUUUUGAAGGCAAGAAACUUCACAUCCAAGAUGUCUAAUACAGCAAUUUUGCCAAAAUCAGGGGUUUCCUGUCUUUAAUUUCUUUUGCUUUCUAUAAAAUUUUAGGCAUGCUGAGCUCAAAGAAAGAAUGAAGGGCUGAACUGUGAUCCUUCCAGAAAAACGAAAACAAAUGAAGCAAGAUAAAUGAAGCUAAUGGGUAUAUGUGUGCUCAGAUGUGUCCAACUCUUUGUGACCCCAUGGACCAUAGCCCACCAGGAUUCUCUGUCCAUGGAACUUUUCAGCCUAGAGAUGAAGUGCUAACAAUAAAGGCUCUGAGCAAAGUAAUCACACUGCCAAGCAGAGGAAAUGGUGUGGUCCAGAUAUGUAGCAGAUACACGUUCCUAAUCCCAAGGCCCAGAAAGACAAAGGAAUUUAUUCCUCACUUCCUAGUGCUCAUUCAAGACCUUGGACCAGCCUCCCCUUUUCAAAGGAAAAACUCCAAGAUUCCUGAUGACUCGUGCUUCCUGCCUGGUGUCAUGGAGACCAGAGUCCAUAAUCUUUCUAGAGUUUCCUUCCCACUUUCCCUCACCUACUGCCCCUCAACCCCAGGUUGUAGUCAGGAUCAACGCCACCCACUUAUGCUCAACAUUUUGCUGGUGGACUCAAGGAUAUGGCAAAGAGAGCAAGAUGCAG